rnacentral:rRNA from 1 species
AGGACGAACGCUGGCGGCGUGCCUAACACAUGCAAGUCGAACGCGCUCCAUUCGGUAGCAAUACUGAUGAAGAGUGAGUGGCGAACGGGUGAGUAACACAUGAGCAACCUGCCCCGAAGACCGGGACAACACCGGGAAACCGGUGCUAAUACCGGAUAUCCCUAUCGGACCGCAUGAUCUGAUAAGGAAAUGGAUUCCGCUUCGGGAGGGGCUCGUGGCCUAUCAGCUAGUUGGUGAGGUAACGGCUCACCAAGGCAUCGACGGGUAGCUGGUCUGAGAGGACGAUCAGCCACACUGGGACUGAGACACGGCCCAGACUCCUACGGGAGGCAGCAGUGGGGAAUCUUGCGCAAUGGGCGAAAGCCUGACGCAGCAACGCCGCGUGGAGGACGAAGGCUUUCUGAGUUGUAAACUCCUUUCAGCAGGGACGAUAGUGACGGUACCUGCAGAGAAGCACGGCCAACUACGUGCCAGCAGCCGA